AACGCACAUUGCGCCCUCUGGUAUUCCGGAGGGCAUGCCUGUUCGAGCGUCAUUAUCAACCAUCAAGCUCUGCUUGGAAUUGAGCGUCACCCCCCCUCUCCGGGGUGGGCGCGCUUCAAACCGGUCGGCGGUGGCUCAGGCCUCUUAAGCGUUAGUAAUACUUCCCGCUUCUGGAGACUGUGGUCGCCCGCCUCCAAAACCCAAUACCUCAAGGUUGACCUCGGAUCAGGUAGGGAUACCCGCUGAACUUAA
rnacentral:misc_RNA from 1 species